AAUCUCCCCCCGAAUUGGGGAUAACAUCGCGAAAGCGAUGCUAAUACCGAAUGAUAUCUGAAAAAUUCCGAUUUUUUGGAUCAAAGGUGGCCUCUACAUGUAAGCUACUGUUUGGGGAUGAGCCCGCGUACCAUUAGCUUGUUGGUAGGGUAAUGGCCUACCAAGGCUACGAUGGUUAGCUGGUCUGAGAGGAUGAUCAGCCACACUGGAACUGACACACGGUCCAG
rnacentral:rRNA from 1 species